CCUACGGGAGGCAGCAGUGAGGAAUAUUGGUCAAUGGGCUAAAGUCUGAACCAGCCAAGUCGCGUGAAGGAUGACUGCCCUAUGGGUUGUAAACUUCUUUUGUCAGGGAGCAAUUGAGUCUACGUGUAGCCUUAUCGAGAGUACCUGAAGAAAAAGCAUCGGCUAACUCCGUGCCAGCAGCCUCGGUAAUACGGAGGAUGCGAGGUUUAUCCGGAUUUAUUGGGUUUAAAGGUUGCGUAGCCGGAAUAUCAGGUCAGCGGUAAAAUCGCGGGGCUAAACCCGGUAGUGCCUUUGAAACUGGUGUUCUAGAGUGGGCGAGAGGUAUGCGGAAUGUGUGGUGUAGCGGUGAAAUGCAUAGAUAUCACGCAGAACUCCGAGUGCGAAGGCAGCAUACCGGCGCACAACUGACGCUGAAGCACGAAAGCGUGGGUAUCGAACAGGAUUAGAGACCCGGGUAGUC
rnacentral:rRNA from 1 species